GUUCAACAUCGAAACCCAGAGAAAUUGAAAACCGGGGUUAUUGGACAAAAACGCCGGUUCGACCGGAAACUCGGAUAAAACCGGAAACCGGUAGAGACCCCGGUUUUCGUCGGAAAUAAUUUGUUCGUGUUCUUGUACGGCCGGAUCUGGGCAGUGAAGGUCGAUGACGACCAGAUCUGGAUGGAUCGAACCAAUUAGGGUCUUGUGCAGCGAGAUCCGAG
rnacentral:lncRNA from 1 species